rnacentral:lncRNA from 1 species
UUGGCUGGCUUCUUGGUUUUCCCAUAGCAUCUCUGACGACUGUGAUAGCUCUCGGAGGAGAAACGCCGAGAAGAGAAGGCUAAGAGAAGAGGAAGAAGAAGCAGAAUACUGAAGAAGAGACGAUGGACGGAGAGGUGGAUGGAAUGAGGUUUUUUCCAACGGAUGUGGAAGUCAUCCGCUACCUCCGGAAGCGCGCGGAGGGCUCUCGACUCCCACCUA